CGCAGCCGCGGUAAUUCCAGCUCCAAUAGCGUAUAUUAAAGUUGUUGCAGUUAAAAAGCUCGUAGUUGAAUUUCGGGGUUAGUAAGUUGGUCAUGCCACUGGUAUGUACUGGCUUUACUGAUUCCUCCUUCUUGAAGAACUGUAAUGCCAUUAAUUUGGUGUUGCAGGGAAACAGGACUGUUACUUUGAAAAAAUUAGAGUGUUUAAAGCAGGCAAUCGCUUGAAUACAUUAGCAUGGAAUAAUGAAAUAGGACGUUCGAUCCUAUUUUGUUGGUUUCUAGGAUUGACGUAAUGAUUAAUAGGGAUAGUUGGGGGCAUUAGUAUUCAAUUGUCAGAGGUGAAAUUCUUGGAUUUAUUGAAGACUAACUACUGCGAAAGCAUUUGCCAAGGAUGUUUUCAUUAAUCAAGAACGAAGUUAGGGGAUCGAAGACGAUCAGAUACCGUCGUAGU
rnacentral:rRNA from 1 species